AUGCUCGCUUCAGCAGUACAUAUACUAAAAUUGGACUGAUACAGAGAUUAGUAUGGCCCCGCUCAAGGAUAACAUGCAAACUCAUGAAGUGUUCCAUUAAAAA